GUGUUGUGCAUGUAUGUUCCAAUUUACUCCUAAGAGUAAAUUGCUACAUUAUUUAUGGAAGGAGGGAGUAGGAUCCACCACAGCAGCCUAAGCUAGGCAAGCUUCAACGGAGAUGAGAUCUCAGAACUUUAUUCUUUAUCCAAAGGUAAUGUAAUCAUCAGGCUAGCCAGAGGUUCCAUAUUUGAUAUACAAAUACUCCUUAAGCACUCAGGCCUUGGUUCUGGUUUCUUCUAAUCUUGCGAUGUCCAAACAUAAGCACUACAAUUCACACAUAAGUUAUGUUCAGAUCCAAAUAAAUAUUCGCAUGAUGAUGUCUACAGCAAACCACCAGGCAUUAAAGGUGGGCAGCCUCAAACUGAUACCAAACACUACUUAAACAAGUAUACCAUGAAUCUAGUGGGGGCAUUCACCCGAUCUGCCAAAGCCUUCAUAACUUUUGCUUCUACACAUCCAUUCCCGGAGCCCAUUCAGCCUGCUUCGUGCGUAUGUAUGUGUGUGUGUGUGCGCGAGAUGCAUGCAUGCAUGCAUCUUGCAUGUUGGGGGUUUUGCAAUUUACUCCUGAGAGAAACCCAGCCAAGAAACAAACGCCAUGACAGGUCAAGCACGGCGACCAAGCGGGCUUCAACGGAGAAAUGGAUUCAGAUCUCCGUUCUCAAGGAUAAUCAUCAGGCUGGCAGUUCAGUGCAACAACGAGGUGCCAAGUUAAAAGGAAUUCAUUGUGAAAUGGUCAUACUGUAUUGAACGCUGCUACAGGCAGCUAAAUCAAAACAACAAAAGGGCAAACCAAAAAUGCAAGAACAAGCAAGUGAAGUGAAAAUAGCAUCGGAGAUUCCCCUAGACGGAUGCAUCAUCCGCGCCCCCGAUUUGAAAUCAGGAGCGCUGCAGAGUCCCUGUCUUGCUUAUCGUCAUAUGCUAAAAAAAAUUAUGCUGAUUUUUUCUGUUCACGAGGCGAAACACUCCACCCAACUUAUGCAGAAACAAAGAUGGCGCGGAUAGCAUCGGAGAUUUCCCAUAGACGGAUGCAUCAUUCGCGACCCGCGAUAUGAAAUCGGGGGCGCUGCAGAGUCCCUGUCUUGCUUGUCGUCAUCUGCCAACUCUGCUGGCGCGGCGAAACCCUAGUCCUCUUUUACAAAUGAAGACCCAGCAACACCAAAGGAAGGAAAGCGAAGAAGGCAUUGAAGCAGAAAGAGAAGAAGCUGAGAAAUGCAGGGAGAAGGAGAUGGAUCGAAGAACCAUGGGGGAUUCGAGGUCAGAUGGCUAAUGGCUGGUGUGAUUUCGCAUGGAGGGGGGGAUUACGGCUGGAGACGAG
rnacentral:rRNA from 1 species